rnacentral:lncRNA from 1 species
UUCACAGGCUACCUAGUACCCUGUGCAGUUUUCAGAUUAGGCUUCAGGGAAUGGCAAGAGUGACAGAAGAGGUAACCACCCAUCCAGGAGAUGGCACUGCCAUUGCACUCAGCAAGGAGUCUGGUUUCUUUGCCUCCAUGCACUUGUUGAAUCAUGAUCUGACCCAGGACUUCACAUCAAUCCAUGGCUUAAUAAAGACAGAGAAAAAGAAAAGAACCAGGAGAGCCAAAGGAUAUGUUUGGCCUGAACUGAAUGAAAGACAGUCCCACAGCCACAGCAUGCUUUCGUGAGGUCACAGGUUAGAAAAAAACAGGAACAAAAACCCUAAAAAUGUGACACACCCAAACUCAGGCCUUCUUUAAGCGCAUGCCUAAAACUGAGCACAUGGUUAAGACCUUUUAUGGCAGAGGGGCUGAGCAGAGGGAUUUUCUUAGCCGAUGAGCUACUUGUGACUCGUUCUUUUCAACAGUGGGAAUCAGAAUCGGAAAAGUUGUUUAUUAUUCAACCUUCUCUUCCAAAGCAAGGAAAACACUGUUUAUAAGAAACUUCAAAAGCCUCUGUCACAGAUAUCAAGUCUAUAUACUAUAUGCCUUUGCCAAGUCAAAUUAGGUUAUUUUACUCGAUAUUAAGUUUGACAAGCAAAGCGCCUGUGAAAACCAGAAUCCCAACUGGGCGUGCCUCCCACAGCUCACUCAAUUUUUUAGUGUUAAAAUUCCUACAGUAGCGCUAUUCUUCAGUCUGAGCUUAUAUUUCUGUCUGUAUUUAUCUUGUCUGGAAAUUUACCUCAUUGUGUCCUAGACAUCUUCUAAUAUUCAAAUUCUUCAAGAAUGCGCACAACACAAGUAGACUUUGUUUUGGCUAGCAAACCGGUCUUACCACAUGUGGAUGUCUCUGUGGGCUUUGGUUUCUAUUUACCUCAACAGAUUAUAAAUUCUAUUAUCAUGCUAAUUCACAGGUCCACGGAGUGUAUCAGACUUGUGGGCUCCUCAGUGCUAUAAAAAUGCUCUUCUGCUACGUAGUUUCCUGGCAGGGACAAUGACAAGUCAAUUUGUGUAUUAACAGUCAUGGAUAAUUAAGAAGAAUAUUAAUAACACAUUGCAUUUUAAAAAAGCAAGGUAAUCUCUCUGAGGACAAACUGAGCAUGGAGGAUUUCAUUCCAAACUUUUUAUCAAAAAAGAGCUUCCACUAGCUUGUUUUGACAGCAUAUUGAAAACAGGAUGAGGCCUUUGAGACCUGCAGUGGUCCAAAUUCCAGUGAACUUUUCAAGAAGA